GCUCCGGUGGCCUAGUGGUUAGAACGUCCGCCUCGGAUACGGGAGGACGCGGGUACGAAGCCCGACCGAGUCA